UGGGGGAUAUCGCGCAAUGGGCGAAAGCCUGACGCAGCGACGCCGCGUGGGUGAUGAAGGCCUUCGGGUCGUAAAGCCCUGUCGAGGGGGACGAAUCGGUUGCGACCUAACACGUCGCGAUCCUGACGGUACCCCUAAAGGAAGCACCGGCUAACUCCGUGCCAGCAGCCGCGGUAAUACGGAGGGUGCUAGCGUUGUUCGGAAUUACUGGGCGUAAAGCGCGUGUAGGCGGCCCGCUAAGUCUGAUGUGAAAGCCCGGGGCUCACCCCCGGAAGUGCAUUGGAGACUGGCGGGCUAGAGUCCCGGAGAGGAGGGUGGAAUUCCUGGUGUAGCGGUGAAAUGCGUAGAUAUCAGGAGGAACACCGGUGGCGAAGGCGGCCCUCUGGACGGUGACUGACGCUGAGACGCGAAAGCGUGGGGAGCAAACAG
rnacentral:rRNA from 1 species